UCCAGCUGUGACAUUGGAGGGAUCUGUGACCAUUGUCACACGCUGCAGUGGAGCUGCAAACAUGGACUGGUUGUUGCACAAAAUCAAAAAGAAACAGAGGAAAGAUCUUUAUUUUUUUUUUUUUAGGAUCUUGCUCUCCUGCUGCAUCCUUUGUGUUUAAAGGAACGCUUGCUCUCAUCAUAGCUUUUCAUACAUCCUUGGAUUCCCUCAGAAGUUC